rnacentral:rRNA from 1 species
AUACCGAGGGUGCAAGCGUUAAUCGGAUUUACUGGGCGUAAAGCGCGCGUAGGCGGCUAAUUAAGUCAAAUGUGAAAUCCCCGAGCUUAACUUGGGAAUUGCAUUCGAUACUGGCUAGCUAGAGUGGGGGAGAGGAUGGUAGAAUUCCAGGUGUAGCGGUGAAAUGCGUAGAGAUCUGGAGGAAUACCGAUGGCGAAGGCAGCCAUCUGGCCUAACACUGACGCUGAGGUGCGAAAGCAUGGGGAGCAAACAGGAUUAGAGACCCGAGUAGUCC